UCUUUUAUAAUUUUUAUUAAUCCCAAAAUUAUCCCUCAAUAAAAAAUCCUAAAACAUACGGUCUCUUUUUCUUUUGUCCAUUCCUGUUGCAGCGUAUGCCUUCUUCUUCCUAUGCGUUCUUCUUCUUCAUCUUCUUCCAUAACUUUCCCCAACUUCAACUCCAAUUUAAAAGCCUCUUCACAGUAAGUAAUCUUUCUGUUGAAUUUCAAUUCCUAUUAUGUUUUCAAAGUUUUGAAUUAAUUUCAAUUCCAUUGGAGAUUAGGGCUAAUAGAUAUGCACAUAAUUAUUUUUUUUAAAUCUAUGAUGUGCUUACAAAAAUUACAAUAUCUCUCUUUUUGGCACAUUCUUUUAUUAAACUUUCUCAGAAAUGAGAGGGUUAGAACUUGUCCUAUUUUUUUCUUUAACAAUUACAUUUAAGUUUAGUUAUUAUGCUGGAAUUUGCAAAAAAAAAUGAAUACGUGCUUUGCUAAGGUUAAGAAAAGAAGCAAAUGAUUCUACAAAUAUACUCUCCACUUAGAUUGAUGGCGAAGAUUACUGUAAUUGGGAAAGAGUUUUAUGUUACAAUGUAACUGGUUCUGUUAUUAAGUUAUCCAUUAAUGGUUGGGAUUCUGCUAAAAUUAAAGGUCCAAAGAUUGAUAAUUUCCAUUGGUUGUCCUUGAAAAUUUUAAUAGGAGUAAAGAUUAUAUUUUUUUCAAUCCUGUAAGUAAAUGUAGAGUCAUUGCACCUGCUAUUUACUGUGAUAAAAUGGAUACCAAUUCAGUAUUUGUAUUGUAAUUUUUCAAAAUUUUCCCAACAUAUGUAAUUCAAGUCAAGAAAAGUAAUCUUCUGCUUAUAAGUUUGUCCAUAGCAAGGGUAAGAAAAAACCAUGAUCCUAAUAAUGAGAUUAAAAGUGAAAAAGAAAACUUACUUUUGUACCUCAUAGUUAAACUGUACAUUGGGUGUCAAAUGUAUAUCUAUAAUGAGUAUAGGGGUUGAUUGAAGUGUAUCAUACUGAAAUCAUUUUUAUGAAUUUGCACUGAAUUAUCAGAUUAAUUCUUUGUACUCGGAAUAUUGAUAUAAGUAAAUAAAAAUAGAGUCUUGCUAUUAGUUUGGUUAAAAUGAGUACUCAUGAUCAUUUUAACAUUGCUCAAUUUGUUCUGUUCUAGAGAUGACAUUCCAAAUUUAGCGCUGUAUUAAAUAUUAAUAAUACCCUACUAUCACAACUUAUACAACAACAACAAUCCAACUCCUUUAUUAUAAGAUUGAUAAAUAUUACUCAAGUUGUUGAGCUACUUUUCGAUUCAAGUAACUCCUUGAAUCAGUAUUAAGGUUUUCAUCUGACCAUUAUAUCUUUCAAAUUUGAGAACCGACAGAUAUUUUUGGGGAUGCCUACUGAUAAAGCUCGCAAGAAUUGGUUGGAGUUUAACUAUCAGUUAUAACUCAAGAAAAAUGAAAAGUGUAUCGUUGUGGUUGAGUAUUUCUCUUAUUCCGUAUUUCAAUAUUAUGAUUUUAUAUGUAAACAUUAUUAUGCUUUUAUGUGUACACUUUAUAUUGCUUCUUGUUUAGACAUUGGAAAUGUAUCACUAAACUUUUAUUAAAUUAAAGCUUCUGUUUAUGGUAAACUUUAUGUUUGAAAGCCUUGGCUCUAUUAUUAAGCUUAUAUUGUCAAAUUUCUGUUUGGUUUCUGUUUGUGGUAUGCUUAUAUUGCUUCUGUUGUUAAGAUUUGGA
rnacentral:lncRNA from 1 species